rnacentral:rRNA from 1 species
UACGUAGGCAGCGAGCGUUGUUCGGAGUUACUGGGCGUAAAGCGUGCGUAGGCGGUGGACCAAGUCUGGUGUGAAAUCUCCCGCUUAACCGGGAGGGUGCGCCGGAAACUGGUUCGCUGGAGUGCGGGAGAGGCAAGCGGAAUUCCAGGUGUAGCGGUGAAAUGCGUAGAUAUCUGGAGGAACACCCGUGGUGCAGACGGCUUGCUGGACCGUGACUGACGCUGAGGCACGAAAGCGUGGGUAGCAAACAGG